AUUUCACGUGUAGGGGUAAAAUCCGUAGAGAUGUGAAGGAACACCGGGGGCGAAGGCGCCUGCCUGGACGACUAUUGACGCUGAGGCGCGAAAGCGUGGGGAGCAAACAGGAUUAGAUACCCUGGUAGUCCACGCCGUAAACGAUGAGCACUAGUUAUUGGAGGUAUUGACUCCUUCAGUGACGCAGCUAACGCAUUAAGUGCUCCGCCUGGGAAGUACGGUCGCAAGACUAAAACUCAAACAAAUUGACGGGGGCCCGCACAAGCGGUGGAUUAUGUGGUUUAAUUCGAAGCAACGCGCAGAACCUUACCAAGGCUUGAAAUCCUAGGAAUCCGAUGUAAUGGUCGGAGUGCUCGCAAGAGAAUCUAGUGACAGGUGCUGCAUGGCUGUCGUCAGCUCGUGUUGUGAAAUGUUGGGUUAAGUCUCGCAACGAGCGCAACCCCUAUCUUUAGUUGCCAGCAUUAAGUUGGGCACUCUAGAGAGACUGCCCGGGUUAACCGGGAGGAAGGUGGGGAUGACGUCAAGUCCUCAUGGCCCUUAUGCCUUGGGCUACACACGUAAUACAAUGGUGCAUACAAAGGGAAGCGACCCAGCGAUGGUUAGCAAAUCUCAAAAAGUGCAUCUCAGUCCGGAUUGGAGUCUGCAACUCGACUCCAUGAAGUUGGAAUCGCUAGUAAUCGCGGAUCAGCACGCCGCGGUGAAUACGUUCCCGGGCCUUGUACACACCGCCCGUCACACCAUGGGAGUUGUUUUCAUUUUAAGACGUGACU
rnacentral:rRNA from 1 species